UUCAAUAUGGCAGAUUAGUGCAAUGAAUUUAAACUUCAUAUAUAAAGAUAAAUCUUUUAUUGAAA
rnacentral:tRNA from 1 species